CAAGAUCACAGAAAACAAACAGAGUGCUGAAUAAAGUGGAUAUUUACCUACUACAAUGAUAUCAAACCAGCAAAUACAUCGUAUCUACUGUCACUGACGAAGAAGAUCGUUAAUUCAACUCCCUGUGAAGCCUGAACAGUUUUGAACCUGCACUAAAAGCCUGAACUAAAAACGUACCACGAUAUUACCUUGAAUUGGACACAAACACGGCAACUGGCAAUAUACUGUGUGAAAUUGUUUUGUUUUCUAUGAAAUAUGUAUUAGAUAUUGAAUGUUAAUAUUUUAAUAUUUAUUAAAAAAAAAAAAAAACAUAACUGACUUUUAUCAAAGUCCCUUUCAGGCAAGUCAUUCAUUUCACUCGGCGGCCAUCUUUGAAACGCCUCUCAUUCAAGUCCACAGACACAAUAAAUAUGUCAUUUUUGUCUCCUAUCCUGAGAGAAAACGUGCUGAGGUGAUCUUCGUGAAUAACUUUAAGGUUCGCUUGCAACUGCAGACUGAGCGAGAGAGACGCGACGCGGCCAUAUUGAAGUAUCUACCGUUAAGCAUAAAUAAUAACCAUUUAUGAGGUCUGUCUGGUGUCUAUCUGAGUGUAAUCAUGGAGGGAAGUGUGGCCGUGGAGUGUGAUGGGCUGAUGGAGUCGGAAUUAAAAAAAGAGGAUGGACGGCGUCAUGGAGCGACACUGAAUCACCUGACAGGAGGGUGAAGAGGUGAGGUCGCACGAGGAGAGACAUUUUCUGAAGAAAAGGUAAAUCUCUCACCAUACACUGUCAGAAGUACACCUAACAUGGGAAUCACAUACAAAUGCUGAAUAUGACUGCAGAUCAAUUGGUUCAUUCAUCAACAGCAGAUAGUAUUUAGACACCGCCGAGGCUGCAGUCCUCAAGAUCACAGUAAUUACUCAUUGUCAGCUCUCAGUCGAGUGAUUAGCACCAAGAAACAAUGGCCCUGCUUUUCAGUUUGUCCCUUGAGGAUGCCUAUUGUUCAUCAGGAGGGACAGUGUUCCCAGAAUGACAGUGAUAAAUAGUAAGGCACUGACAUUAUCGUCAUCCAGAUCUCCUAAAAACCAUGUCUGCUGCUGUCCUUCAAGGAAGUGUCACCUCAUAGCUACAUAGGUUUUUAUCCUUUUGAUGAAGUUGCUUUAGAAUUUUCUGACUGGUAAUCUUUUAAAACUUUGGUGCUCAUCUCAA